CAGCCGCCGCGGUAAUACCGGCGGCCCGAGUGGUGGCCGCUAUUAUUGGGCCUAAAGCGUCCGUAGCCGGGCCCGUAAGUCCCUGGCGAAAUCCCACGGCUCAACCGUGGGGCUUGCUGGGGAUACUGCGGGCCUUGGGACCGGGAGAGGCGGGGGGUACCCCUGGGGUAGGGGUGAAAUCCUAUAAUCCCAGGGGGACCGCCAGUGGCGAAGGCGCCCCGCUGGAACGGGUCCGACGGUGAGGGACGAAGGCCAGGGGAGCAAACCGGAUUAGAUACCCGGGUAGUCCUGGCUGUAAAGGAUGCGGGCUAGGUGUCGGGUGAGCUUCGAGCUCGCCCGGUGCCGGAGGGAAGCCGUUAAGCCCGCCGCCUGGGGAGUACGGCCGCAAGGCUGAAACUUAAAGGAAUUGGCGGG
rnacentral:rRNA from 1 species